UUGCAUAUUAUUGUCCAUGUA
rnacentral:piRNA from 1 species